ACGCGCCGGGCACGUGGGGCGGGCGGGAAGGGGCGCGCGCCCGGCCGUUGGGCUAACGGUCGCUGCGCUAACGGUCGCUGCCGCCCGCCGCCCGCCCUGUGGGGAGCCUGCCGCGAAGGGGAAAAGCGGCUCCCCCUCUCCCCGGUACCGGCCCUCGCGCAAGGGUUGGGUCGGGUUUCUUCCGCGGCGCUCCCGCUCCCGCCAGAGGCUGCUCUGCUGUUCAGGUAACCGCACUUUUCGUGGGCCUGAAGUUGCCAGGCCCAAGAAAGAAACAGAAACGCUCAUUAUGAGGGCUCAGUUCAGGGCCUUGCUCUGGGCUCUCCGGUUUGGCCAGUUCCUCCUGUGUAGCCCUACUCAUAGCCAUCUGCCUGAGAGCAGCCAAGUUCGCAGAGAGCAGCCCUUGGCCGUGAGCCAAGCCACCAGUGAGGGUGUUGACUGAGAUCACACUGAUAGACUUGAACAGAUUUGCUUGUACCCUCCCUCUGGUUUACUUCAUCCUUAUUUUUCAAGGGUAUAUGAUACUGCUUUGGUUUUGGCUAGUUCCUUAUUAGCAAUAAUCCUUAGCUUCUACAGCUAAUGUUUCAUUUAUGGUUCCAUGUGAAAGGCCCUGCUGGAGUCCAGAUCAAUUAAGUCUGUUCUGUUUAUAUAUACCCAGAAGUCAUACCUGUUCUCACUGAGACCCAUUUUACCCAGCACAGUUUAGUUUUAGCAAGACAAUGCUGUAUCUCAGUCACAUCUUUCAGCUAUCUCCAUGUUUUAAGCAUUCGUUGAAAGCAUUGCAUACUCGAGAGAACCAAAUAAUAGGCCAAUAGGUAAUGCGUUGUUGGAGACGUUUACCCCCUCUGUGAAAGUGUACCUCGUGAAGCUGUAGGGAGAGGGGACCUUUGUGCUGAUUUGCAAAGUCUGUUUCUGGGAUCAAGUGGAAAAAAAAAAGUAGUAAAUUCUGUAUCUCUGCCUUCACACCCUUAAUGAGCGAGCGUUAGGCAAGGCAGGACUUGUUUACUUGAGCUGUUGGUCACGCUCAGAUAGUGUCACAUCCCUCCCGUUCCUCCACUGUGCUUGGCAGACUGCCAUUUUCUGGGGGCAUCUGUGUGGGGGUGGAAAUCCCUGGACAAAACUGUUGGGAAGCUUUUAAAUUUUUCAGCGAACAGGAGCAAAUGUCAAGGAAACAGAAAAAGAAUCUGCAAGAGCCACAAAGAUCAGUAAGGAGCAUGCAUAUAGAUAUAUAUUUUUUUAAGCUUUCUUCUUUUUUACAUAAGAAAAUAAGAUUGUGAUUAGGCAGUAAUGAAAGAAAACGCUUGCAGAGUUGGUGCAGGAGGAAGGGACUGCCAUUCUGUUUGCCGAGCAGCUGCCCAGGGCAAGCGGCGCCGCGGGGGCUGCUGCUGCGGGCCAGUCUGUGGCUGCCGGGGCAGGAGAGGAGCUGUCAUUUAAGCACCAAGAAGUAGGUGGUCCAGCCGGCGAGGAGCAGCGCCCCGACCAGCACCGUGUAGCUGAACAGCACGAAGGCCAGCAGCUCCUUCAGCACCUUGAGGACGUGGACAGCAAAGGAGUCCGGCAUGGCUCUCCGGGCGCUGCGAGGCAGUUCAGUUAACCGAGAGGCUGUUGAGCAUAUUCCUCCAUUCGCUGAGAAACUGUGCUUCGGUGGGCCACUUGAGGAGGAUGCUGGCAUACAGCUGGGGAUCUCCCAAGGUUCAACUAUUUACGAAUGAAUGGCAAUGUGACGUAGAGGCCCCAGUGGUUCUGUCAAAGAGCAUGACUACAGUGCAGACGAAGGGAGGAGCAUUACUUUGGAUGCCCAGUAGCCACCAAGUUUCUGAAGAGGAACUGAGAAGCAGAAAGGCAGGGAGCGACCUAGAACAACUGGCUCCAAAAGGAGCCUGUCAGCUCAUCCUGUUUCAUUUUUAAGUUACGUAAGUAUGAAAUUGUGAAUUAAGUGUCAUGUAAUUGGUCUUUUGUCCUCAGAGUGUAUCUGAACCUAUGCAGUAAAAAUGUUAUUGCUUCCCCUUGUCAGAAGCUAUCUUUCCUUUGCAAAAUCAGUUGCCAAGAACAUGAGAAAAUUUAGUUACUGUGGCCCAGCCCCUUUGGCUACCUGUUCACAUGAUAAUACCAGGCCACGAUCUUUCUAGCAACAUAAUAAUGGCGCAAACCUUGGAAGUGCUAGAAAAAAAACUAAUAGGAAAAAAGUUACAGUUUUAAAUUUUCUUUAAAGUGAUGCGCUGAUGUUGGAGGAAAGAAGGCACCUUCUGCCACAUCUUUGUUCUUUGCCAUUACUUUUAUCACUAAUUGCAGUUCAAGUUGUGUGCAUUGCUACAACCUCUCAAGAAAAGUAUCACUAAGUCAUAAAAAGAACAUCAUCACAAAAAUUACCGGGUCAGGUAAGGUAACUGGGAAUGCACAUACAGUAGCAGGAAUGACAAAGAAUGAAGAGUGCUUGUAGGUCUAAACAGUGGACAGACACUACAAAGAAAUGGAUACAAAAGCAGUAGUUCUGGACAGAGCCUAGCAUAGCCCAGAAAGGAAACCUUUGUUACCAGUAAAUAUAGAAUGUGGAGGGAGCCCAAAGGAAAGGAAACCAGCACAUUUUAGGGGGCCCCCAUGACCGCCUUUCAAAACACAGCUGAGUACAGCUCUCUGACAGCAACAGAUCUCAGUGCAUUGACAGAAUUACCAGAUGAGAGAGACUAGGAAUAUUGGUAUGCAAUCAGGAGGAGAUGACAUCCUGCCUCCUGAGCUGCUUAGGAAGGUGACAAAAAAGUAAUCACAUCAGCAGAUUAAAACUAAACAGAAAGGAAAAAAAAAAAA